ensembl:lncRNA
GCUGUGUGAUCGGUGUGUGAUCGGUGUGUGAUCUCUUAAACUGUCUAUUUGACUCAUGCAUCACAUUGGAAAUUGUGUAUGAAUUUAAUUAAAAAUAAAUACAAAUAUGACUAUAUCAUCGGUUUGACAGUCAAUGGUAUUCAAUUUGCUCAAUUAAUUUGAUUGAUGGUUUAUUUAAAUCUAUUUUCUAACCUUAGGUCAACUCCCUUAGUCUAUUUAUUCUUUCCAGAGCAAACCGGUUUCAUUUAGUUUAAGGAAAAUACAUUUUGUUUUGUCGUUUUCAUUCACUGAACCGUCUCACAAAAGGGAAGGAGGGACAGAGAGAGGGAGGGAGGGAGGGAGAGAGGGAGGGAGGGAGGGAGAGAGAGACAGAGAAAGGGAGGCAGAAAUAGAGAGAGACAGGGACAGAGAGACAGAGAGACCGGAAGACACAGACAGACAGACAAGUAGAGUGGGUGAGACACAGCUUUAUGCACAAUAUUUCACCUAUAAAACUCCCUUAACUAAUACUACGGAUCCCACUACCGAUUUCUGAAUGGGCUACGAUAAAACUAUCUGCCGGAGGUCUGCUGGGUUGCUUCUAAUCCGGGGGGCGUACAUCACCAUGGUUACCACAAGGUAUAUGGAUCACUCACACCAAGCCUGCUCCAGAGGACAGGAUCUCGGUUAAUAGGCCAGAACAGAACAAAGUCCCGCCCACUUUGCCAAAAGGACCACCGGACCAAUCAGGGUCUCUCGCUUCAUACACCACACACACACACACGCCAAUCAAUUGGAUGAAAGGUAGAACUCGGUCGCUCAAUGCAACGCAAAAACCCACCAGGAUACCAGAGGGCGACAGUUAAAGACAACCACCAAACCUGCCCUCAGCUCCACCAACAAGGACCUGCCAGGACAGCAGGCAAGGACUUCUCGAGUCGCGCGCGGCAAGUGAGGUGAGGUGGGAGGUCACUCGAGUCAUGACUCAUCACAACGUCACACACUACAGCCAAUGAACGUGACGUGGGGGGUAUUUAACCACCUCGACCUGCAGACAGUGACUUAAAGUACUACAGCCUCGGGAAGCAAAGGUGAACAACAUGAAGACAUUUGCGCUGGUUUUCGUUUUCCUGAUCUUGGCUGCAGUUUGCACAGAUGCCAAUCCCAUCAUGAAGGAGAGCGUUGCUAAGCAGCUCUUCCGCAGCAAGAGGAUGGAUAAUACCUACGAGUGGGAGAUCGUGCUCGACCUGAUCGAGAAGUGAUGGGAGCAGAAAUCAGUUCCGGUGAUGGUGUAGCGCCGAGCUGGAGGUCAGUCACCUGAGCCGGAACGUCACCGCGUGCGUUUUCUCGAUAAUACAGCCUUUAAUUUGUUUACUCGAAUUACUUGAGUUUUAAUGGUUUUAAUGGUUGUUAAGGAGGAAAUCUUUGGUGUGUUUCCGCUACAUAUAUCUUUUUAACGUAACAUUCUUUGUUCAUAUUCUGUCCUCUGCUCCUUUCAGGGGACCGCGUCCAGGGGGCGCCCACAACGUGACCCGACGGACGCACGACGACAACGAAGACGACGACGAGGAAUCAAAGACGAGCGCGCGCUUCUAUGUUGGGCUGUUUCCCUUCAGGCCAUCAAGUGAUUCACUAUAGAGUGAUAUCAUCUAAACAUUAAACGCGUAGGCCUAGACCCUCAUAUUCUAGAUGUGUGAUCUCUUAAACUGUCUAUUUGACUCAUGCAUCACAUUGGAAAUGGUAGGCCUAUAUGAAUUUAAUUUAAAAAUAAUUGCAAAUAUGUCAUCGGUUUGACAGUCAAUGGUAUUCUAUUGGCUCAAUUAAUUUAAUUUAUCCAGGUUAUCAACAAAGACC